UACGUAGGUGGCAAGCGUUGUCCGGAUUUACUGGGUGUGAAGGGCGUGUAGCCGGGUUGACAAGUCAGAUGUGAAAUCCUGCGGCUUAACCGCAGAACUGCAUUUGAAACUGUUGAUCUUGAGUACUGGAGAGGCAGGCGGAAUUCCUAGUGUAGCGGUGAAAUGCGUAGAUAUUAGGAGGAACACCAGUGGCGAAGGCGGUCUGCUGGACAGCAACUGACGGUGAGGCGCGAAAGCGUGGGGAGCAAACAGG
rnacentral:rRNA from 1 species